AGUCUGCAACCCGACUACAUGAAGCUGGAAUCGCUAGUAAUCGCGGAUCAGAAUGCCGCGGUGAAUACGUUCCCGGGUCUUGUACACACCGCCCGUCACACCAUGAGAGUCGGGAACACCCGAAGUCCGUAGCCUAACCGCAAGGGGGGCGCGGCCGAAGGUGGGUUCGAUAAUUGGGGUGAAGUCGUAACAAGGUAGC
rnacentral:rRNA from 1 species